ensembl:snRNA U6 U6 spliceosomal RNA
AGGCUCACUCCAGUAGCACAUACACUAAAAUUGGAAUGACACAGAGAUUAACACAGCCCCUGUGCAAGGGAAACAUGCAGAUUCAUGAAGUAUCCCAUGGUUUU